CCUCUCUGGACAGGCGGCGGGCGCGGAGUCAUGGAUUCGGCUUCGUGCGGAUUGCUGGCUUCACCCGGCGUGUGACGAGCCGUGGGAUUCAGCUCUGUGGAAAACACAAAGCAAGCCUGGGAGAGUGGUGAACAGAUGGAUGAGGGACAAAAUCAUGUCCGUUUCUCAACCCUGAGAACUGCCCAAGGUGACUCUACUUCUCGCUCUCCUUCAGUAACCUCAAAUCUGGAGGAAGUAAAUGAUAUGUACUGAAAGCCCCAUGGUUACUUUUGGAAUGGUCCGCUAGAUUUGACCAGUGCUGGAGAGUAUACAGUGAAUGAGUUGCAGUUAUGUCUGCUAAGAGAGUGGUGAAUCAAGUGUUCUGGAAGUCCUUGGCAUUGCACUGUGUUUCCAUGUGGAAAAAUCGUGCUACAUGUACUUGGAGUUGCUUCACCAGCAGUGAUGAUGGAUUUGUACUGCAAAUCGACCCUCUCUCACCUAGUCUCCUCUGUGGCUAGUGGUGUUCAUUUGCAAGAUGAUUGGA